UAGAUACCCUGGUAGUCCUGGCCGUAAACGAUGGAUACUAGGUGUGGGAGGUAUCGACCCCUACCGUGCCGGAGUUAACGCAAUAAGUAUCCCGCCUGGGGAGUACGGUCGCAAGACUGAAACUCAAAGGAAUUGACGGGGACCCGCACAAGCGGUGGAGUAUGUGGUUUAAUUCGAAGCAACGCGAAGAACCUUACCAGGCCUUGACAUUGACUGAAAGAGUUAGAGAUAACUCCCUCUCUUCGGAGAC
rnacentral:rRNA from 1 species